rnacentral:rRNA from 1 species
GAUGAACGCUAGCGGCAGGCUUAAUACAUGCAAGUCGAGGGGCAGCACGGGUAGCGAUACCUGGUGGCGACCGGCAAACGGGUGCGGAACACGUACGCAACUUUCCCAAAACUGGUGAAUAGCCCUCCGAAAGGAGGAUUAAUACACCGUAACAUAAUGAAGUGGCAUCACUUUAUUAUUAUAGCUCCGGCGGUUUUGGAUGGGCGUGCGCCUGAUUAGGUAGUUGGCGGGGUAACGGCCCACCAAGCCUUCGAUCAGUAACUGGUGUGAGAGCACGACCAGUCACACGGGCACUGAGACACGGGCCCGACUCCUACGGGAGGCAGCAGUAAGGAAUAUUGGUCAAUGGACGCAAGUCUGAACCAGCCAUGCCGCGUGAAGGAUGAAGGUCCUCUGGAUUGUAAACUUCUUUUAUCUGGGACGAAAAAGGAAUUCUUUCUCACUUGACGGUACCAGAGGAAUAAGCACCGGCUAACUCCGUGCCAGCAGCCGCGGUAAU